CUUGGAAUCACUGAAAUGAAAACUGCACUUUCCUGAAACCCUGCAGACUAAAACUGGAUGGUCUGAUAUAGCCUUUGGAGAAAUCACCACAGCAGUUUUAUGUAGAAAUAAACUUUCUGCCUAUUACUAUAUGGGCCACUUAGAAAGCUCACCGGAUGCAAACUGCGAACCGGAAAAAUCCCAGAUUGCCACUGUCUGCUCUCACUCCAUAUGAAGAUGCUUCAAGUCUAACAUCUGAAAAUCUUGACUGGCUGCCCUCUAGACCCAAAGGAACAGAAUGAAGUUGUUCUCUGAGGAUCCUUUAUCUUCCUAGAAACCAGACUGGCCAAAAGAACACAACUGCCUUCCCUGAGUUUCAUUAACUGCACUCAUAUCACAGGAAGAAAGACCGAAGUCCAUCAACACCCCUGGGUACACUUUUGUCACAAACAAUUGCCUGAUCUCCAGUCACAACACGUUUUGUCCCAGGCCAUCGUAUGUUCUCCAAGUCCAUUCAUUUUCCCCUAAAAAUCAUUCACUGUUCCACAAAUCGCCACAUUUGUUGUAUGAAGAGGGGUGUCUAAGCGUCUGUACCCCACUGGGUAAUCAUUCUGCAAUUCCCCAGUGCUAUACAAGUUAAAAUAGAAAUGUGUGUGUGCCUUUUCUCCUAUUAAUUUGCCUUUUAUUUUGUUUUGAGACUGAGUCUUGCUCUGUCGCCCAGGCUGGAGUGCAAUGGCACAAUCUCGGCUCACUGAAACCUCAGCCUCCCAGGUUCAAGCGAUUCUCCUGCCUCAGCCUCCUGAGUAGCUGGGAUUACAGGCGUGUGCCACCACGCCCAGCUAAUUUUUAUAUUUUUAGUAGAGAUGGGGUUUCACCAUGUUGUCCAGGCUGGUCUUGAACUCUUGAUCUGAUGUGAUCCACCCGCCUCGGCCUCCCAAAGUGCUGGGAUUACAGAGGUGAGCCACUGCGUCCGGCUUAAUCUUCUUUUUGUCUGUUCAUUUUCAGUGACCCUUCAGAGGGCAAAGAGAAAGUUGUCCUGUGGCCCCUCCAGAAGUUGGGUUGAGGAUAAUUUAUUUUUAUCAGAGACUUUUAUCACAUUUUAUAACAUGGUUUAGUGUAAAAACAUCUGUGCUCCUCAUGAAUUACUUGUAGAGAUAUAAGUGUUUUAUUUCCUCCUACCUAUUGCCCAGAAGAGCUAAUGUGAAUGAAGCAAUUUAUCAGAAACGUCCUUAUUUUUAUCUGAACUCUGGUCUAAUGGAUGCUUUCAUGUGAAUAAGCAUCAGAAGUCUCCAUUUUCAUGAAAAUAAAUGAAUGAAGUAGGUCAAGGUGGUAAAUCUAGACCAAUAAGUUUAGCUGUUAAGGCACUUCCAAAACAAGGCAUUUCAGCUCUAGUAAGCAGACACCAGCCCACUGCAUUGUGUUUGAGAUCUGAAGCUGAAUAUGGCUUUGAAGUGAAAAGACAAAGGCAAUGACAGACUCAAAAGAAUGAAACUACAGUAGACAGUGAGAAAUUGUGCUAAGGAAAGGGGCUCCCUUUUUAUCGCAUUGGUUAAUUCUCAAAACUGUCUUUUAUAUCCCUGUUUUUGGAAUUGGAAUUGGCAGUUAAAACUUAUAUUUAAAAACUUUAGAGAUUUCAUUACUGUAAAUCUGUAUAGUCAAGUUUGUGUUGGAGAUGUACAAAUUUAAUUAAAUAGGAAGUCUGCCAUUUUGUUAGCUACUGCAUUUCCAUAUAGCAUAAGAAGUUAUCCAAUUACUUUCUGAAAGCAAAGAUGUAAGAAAAAGUCUGUAAUCACUCCUGGCAAACCCAAUUAAAGCGGAUUAGAUUUAUAAGAAGUAUCUGCUCAUAUGUAUCACAUAGACAUAAGAAGAGGUAAUUUUAAAGAGACAGCCCUCCAAUAUGGGUGUGUUCUAUACAGUGGAGCAUCUGGGAGGGACAGAAUGGAUGGUACUACAGGAUCACAGGAUGGGUCAGUAUCUUCUUCCUACUAGUUGUUCCUUCUGAUUUCCCUUUCUAUACCUCAAAAUCCACAAAUUUGGGUACCAAUGUGAAGUAUUCAAUGUUUGAUGAAUAAACAAAUGAACAAUUAAAUGAUCAAAUAGAAAUACAAAUAUUAGCUGUGAAAAUGAUUGUUUUAUAAUAAGUUAGCCUUGUAGAUUGUGUUCUGAAGUUCAAGAUACUCUACAUGCUAAAGAAUGCUUAUUUUAUUUCUUAAACAAAAAGUUCAAUUUACAAGGUAUUUUCUGUGACUGCCAAAUCCUGUGGAUCUGUACAGUUGAAUCAACUAUUGUUAUUUUCUCAAAAUUCCUCAACAGGCACCAAAUGUGUGUUUGAACAUUUUUGAUUAACUUUGACUUUGGUUAUUGAAAAGUCACUAAGAAGUAAAAUUUAUCAUUGUUUUUAAAUUCUAUAAAAUGAUUUUGGUGGUAAAGUGUUAAGGAUGUUUUACUUUACUGGUUCUUUUAUAUUUAUGAUUGAGUUUUAAAUUUAUUUUUAAAUAAUUAUAAUUAUUUUGGAGAAAAAUAUGCUGACCAUAUUUGUAUAUUGCUCUUGAAUGUCAUUUUAUUUUAUUUUUUUUAUCACUUCAGAAUUUCAAAUAGUGCCUCUUGAAUGUUCUAGUAUUGAUUUUAAGAUCCUUUAUUUUCUCUGAAGUGCCUCUAACAAGAAAGUGACUGAAAUUGGUGAGCCAGAAGGAGAAUGCCAGUGAACUUAACUAUACUCAGUAGAGGAUUCCAGAGGAAAUUCAAAUUUUUACCAUUGAAGCCAGAGAUGAUCUUGUAAACUAAGCUGGAACUAAAUAAUAAAAUGCUCAGACA
rnacentral:lncRNA from 1 species